UGUCGUAAGGGAAAAUAAUGAUAAUACCUUACUAAAAGUGUCGUCCAAAUCUGGUGCCAGAAGACUCGGUAAGACCAGAGACGCAAACGUUAAUCAUCAUAAACAGGCGUAAAGGGUUUGUAGGCAGUUGCCAUAAAACUAUGAAUAAUAAAAUAAAGUAGUUUAAUUGGGAACUAGAAUCAAAAAGAGGUUAUAGUGUAUAACGCUUAGAGGAGGGCUGAUAUCCUUAGAUCCUAAGCAGAAUACUCAGGGCGAAGGCCACUUUCCACUAAUGAUUGACGCUGAGAAACGAAGGUUAGGGUAGGAAAUAGGAUUAGAUACCCCGGUACUCCUUUCUGUAAACGAUGAAUGGUAGUCAUUAGUUUAAAAAAAACUAGAGGCGAAGUUAACACGAUAACCAUUCCGCCUUGUGAGUACUACUGCAAAGUAGAAAACAAAAAAAUUAGUCGGUCUCGAAGCAAACGGAGUGAAGCAUGUUAUUUAAU
rnacentral:rRNA from 1 species